rnacentral:rRNA from 1 species
AGAGUUUGAUCCUGGCUCAGAACGAACGCUGGCGGCAGGCCUAACACAUGCAAGUCGAGCGGAAACGAUGGAGCUUGCUCCAGGCGUCGAGCGGCGGACGGGUGAGUAAUGCAUAGGAAUCUGCCCGGUAGUGGGGGAUAACCUGGGGAAACCCAGGCUAAUACCGCAUACGUCCUACGGGAGAAAGCAGGGGAUCUUCGGACCUUGCGCUAUCGGAUGAGCCUAUGUCGGAUUAGCUUGUUGGUGAGGUAAUGGCUCACCAAGGCGACGAUCCGUAGCUGGUCUGAGAGGAUGAUCAGCCACAUCGGGACUGAGACACGGCCCGAACUCCUACGGGAGGCAGCAGUGGGGAAUAUUGGACAAUGGGCGCAAGCCUGAUCCAGCCAUGCCGCGUGUGUGAAGAAGGCUUUCGGGUUGUAAAGCACUUUCAGUGAGGAAGAAGGCCUUGGGGCCAAUACCCCCGAGGAAGGACAUCACUCACAGAAGAAGCACCGGCUAACUCCGUGCCAGCAGCCGCGGUAAUACGGAGGGUGCGAGCGUUAAUCGGAAUUACUGGGCGUAAAGGGCUCGCAGGCGGUUUCUUAAGUCUGAUGUGAAAGCCCCCGGCUCAACCGGGGAGGGUCAUUGGAAACUGGGAAACUUGAGUGCAGAAGAGGAGAGUGGAAUUCCACGUGUAGCGGUGAAAUGCGUAGAGAUGUGGAGGAACACCAGUGGCGAAGGCGACUCUCUGGUCUGUAACUGACGCUGAGGAGCGAAAGCGUGGGGAGCGAACAGGAUUAGAUACCCUGGUAGUCCACGCCGUAAACGAUGAGUGCUAAGUGUUAGGGGGUUUCCGCCCCUUAGUGCUGCAGCUAACGCAUUAAGCACUCCGCCUGGGGAGUACGGUCGCAAGACUGAAACUCAAAGGAAUUGACGGGGGCCCGCACAAGCGGUGGAGCAUGUGGUUUAAUUCGAAGCAACGCGAAGAACCUUACCAGGUCUUGACAUCCUCUGACAACCCUAGAGAUAGGGCUUUCCCUUCGGGGACAGAGUGACAGGUGGUGCAUGGUUGUCGUCAGCUCGUGUCGUGAGAUGUUGGGUUAAGUCCCGCAACGAGCGCAACCCUUGAUCUUAGUUGCCAGCAUUUAGUUGGGCACUCUAAGGUGACUGCCGGUGACAAACCGGAGGAAGGUGGGGAUGACGUCAAAUCAUCAUGCCCCUUAUGACCUGGGCUACACACGUGCUACAAUGGACAGAACAAAGGGCUGCGAGACCGCAAGGUUUAGCCAAUCCCACAAAUCUGUUCUCAGUUCGGAUCGCAGUCUGCAACUCGACUGCGUGAAGCUGGAAUCGCUAGUAAUCGCGGAUCAGCAUGCCGCGGUGAAUACGUUCCCGGGCCUUGUACACACCGCCCGUCACACCACGAGAGUUUGCAACACCCGAAGUCGGUGAGGUAACCUUUAUGGAGCCAGCCGCCGAAGGUGGGGCAGAUGAUUGGGGUGAAGUCGUAACAAGGUAGCCGUA